rnacentral:rRNA from 1 species
CAGCCGCCGCGGGAAUACGUAGGUCCCGAGCGUUGUCCGGAUUUAUUGGGCGUAAAGCGAGCGCAGGCGGUUAGAUAAGUCUGAAGUUAAAGGCUGUGGCUUAACCAUAGUACGCUUUGGAAACUGUUUAACUUGAGUGCAAGAGGGGAGAGUGGAAUUCCAUGUGUAGCGGUGAAAUGCGUAGAUAUAUGGAGGAACACCGGUGGCGAGAGCGGCUCUCUGGCUUGUAACUGACGCUGAGGCUCGAAAGCGUGGGGAGCAAACAGGAUUAGAUACCCCCGUAGUCCCUGUCUCUUAUACA